UAAGGUGGUUAUAGCGAUGGGGCUCACCUCUUACCAUUCCGAACAGAGAAGUUAAGCCCAUUAGCGCCGAUGGUACUACAGUUGUGGGAGAGUAGGUCGUUGCCUUUU
rnacentral:rRNA from 1 species